rnacentral:lncRNA from 1 species
CAUCGACAAACUGUUGAAUGGAAGGUGAAGGCAUGCACAUUCUUUCAGCCCCAUGCAUCAUUCGAGUCGCGUUUUGGUCUGGACGGAAUAGAAGAAUCCGUCCAUCUUCUGUCCUGUUUGCUUUCGUGCCUUCAUAUAUGCCCUGGAUAUAGUUUUUAGAGCCGGAUUAAUUAGAUUAUUAUGAAUCUGACAUAACGGGAAAACUUGGUAACCUUAAAAAAAAACCAUCUUUGUCCAAAUCUUUACUCUUUUGACUUUAGAUUUGGAUUUGUCUCCAAUCUUACGUGUUCAACAUGUGCGAAAGGUCCCAAAUUAAAGUAAUAAUAAUAUAAUGGAAAAUGUUUGGUAAAUGCACUUGUCUCCAAGUCAGCAACGUCAAAAAUAUUUCAUAAAUUUCUUCAGUUUGGUUGUCAACUCCACGUUUUUCUUUAUUUCUUGCAAUGAAAUGUUAGGCGAAAUAAGGGGAAAUGGAGUGCUUGCCUGGCCAUAAUUUAAGACGCCUGCGGAGGGGCUUAUUUCGAUAUUGGCGUAGCGACUAAGUCGUCCUUCUUUAAAAUUAUCGUCUUUGGAACAUCUCAUAACGUACAUGUAAUCAGUAGGUGUCAAACCAAAUCCAAGUUUAUCCCAAUCCACAUCCGCGUACUCAUCCUCACUAUUUUCAAAUUGGAUUUUAUUACUUUUAUAUAAAAAAAAUUAGGAAAUGGAAUAAAAUAUUCAGUAUAGUCGACAAUAAGUUAACAAUGACCAUAAUGUUUGAGUAUUUUAAUAAUUUAUUCCCUUAUCAAAACAUUCAUGAACACGACUUCCCACGUGUUUGUGGUGUUUUUUUUUUUUUUUUAAUUUCUCUCUUUGAAAACCAACGUUAGCAUGCACUUUGUAGCUAAAACCAAACACUGCGACCCGAACAUUUGACAAGAACUUGUUAAGCUGAAAUCAUAUUUUAGCUCAACUUUGUUACCUGUAAGUGGAUGGGUGACGGAGAGAAUUAGAAGCUGCCCGAGAUGUAUAGCCGCU